rnacentral:tRNA from 1 species
AAGAUCUUAAGUUAAAACAAACUAUAAGCCUUCAAAGCUUGAAAUAAAAAAUUAUUUUUUAGAUCUUG